UGUAGAAGCGCUUCAGGAGAUCUCCGUUCCAUGCUCGUAGUUUGACUGUCUCCUUGUCGAUGUUGUAGACUCUGUAUGCUCCGUUGUUCAGCACCAUGGAGAUGAUGAAGGGUCCUUCCCAGGCAGGAGCCAACUUGUGAGGUCUUUGCUGAUCCACUCGGAGCACUAGCUCACCUGCUUGGAACGUGCGACUCCUGACAUGUCGUGCAUGAAAAUGCCGCAAAUCUUGCUGAUUAAUAGUUGAGCGAGUCAAUGCCAUCUCGCGCUCCUCCUCUAGAAGGUUCACUCCGUCUUGCCUUGCUUGUUCUGCUUCAGCUUCGGAGAAGAGUUCGACUCGUGGAGCAUUGUGAAGCAAGUCACUCGGAAGGACUGCUUCUGCUC
rnacentral:lncRNA from 1 species